rnacentral:rRNA from 1 species
CCUACGGAGGCUGCAGUGGGGAAUAUUGGACAAUGGGCGAAAGCCUGAUCCAGCCAUGCCGCGUGUGUGAAGAAGGCCUUCGGGUUGUAAAGCACUUUCAGUGGGGAAGAAAGCCUUGGGGCUAAUACCCUCGAGGAAGGACAUCACCCACAGAAGAAGCACCGGCUAACUCCGUGCCAGCAGCCGCGGUAAUACGGAGGGUGCGAGCGUUAAUCGGAAUUACUGGGCGUAAAGCGCGCGUAGGCGGUCUGAUAAGCCGGUUGUGAAAGCCCCGGGCUCAACCUGGGAACGGCAUCCGGAACUGUCAGGCUAGAGUGCAGGAGAGGAAGGUAGAAUUCCCGGUGUAGCGGUGAAAUGCGUAGAGAUCGGGAGGAAUACCAGUGGCGAAGGCGGCCUUCUGGACUGACACUGACGCUGAGGUGCGAAAGCGUGGGUAGCAAACAGGAUUAGAUACCCUGGUAGUC